rnacentral:misc_RNA from 1 species
AUAUCUCAACCUUCUCGGUUUCUUCUGGAUGCCGAAGGAGGCUUGGACUUUGGAGGCCUCUGCUGGCAUCUUUUGAAGGCCAGCUCCUCUCAAAUGAAUUAGCGGGGUCCUCUUUGCCAACCCUCGACAUGUGAUAAGAUGUUUCCAUGUCUUGGUUUAUGGCUCUGUUGCUUUUGGGACCCGCUUCUAAUCGUCUCAAUGACAACGUUUGAGAGCGUCUCCCUUCUCGGGAAACCCUCUCGAACCCACGAAC